UACGAAGGGGGCUAGCGUUGCUCGGAAUCACUGGGCGUAAAGCGCACGUAGGCGGCUUUUUAAGUCAGGGGUGAAAUCCUGGAGCUCAACUCCAGAACUGCCUUUGAUACUGAGAAGCUUGAGUCCGGGAGAGGUGAGUGGAACUGCGAGUGUAGAGGUGAAAUUCGUAGAUAUUGGGAGGAACACCGGUGGCGAAGGCGGCGCUCUGGACCGAGACUGACGCUGAGGCGCGAAAGCGUGGGGAGCAAACAGG
rnacentral:rRNA from 1 species